GGAAGGAUCUCUUAGUGGAGAUUGCUGCUCUUGGUGUUUUUUUUCUGUUAGCAUGUGACAUGGGUUAAUUUUCAGUUGAAGUUUUCUAAUCUAACUGGUCAUGUGAUUUCAUGGCUGCUCACUCCCGGUGAUGCAGUAAGAUCACACACCUGAACAGUGCCAUGGCUGACCCUUUCAGUCACAGCAUAUACGCAUGCUGGCUAACGUUUUUGGGAAGCCUAAGUUUCAACGCUGCUUCUCCAGAGAAUUAUGUUCAUCAGCCCACAGAACACAACUAAGAGAUUACUCCAAAUCACAUCAAGCAACCGCUGUGGGAGGCAGCAGUGUGAUCAGAGCGAAGCUGUCCCAGGGAUAGAAGGAGUUUGAUUAUAUAGCAAAAAUGAAAUUCAGGAUUUCCUGAUUGAUUUUGAAGAAAGCAAAUGCAUGCUGCUGCCUUAUGAGGAGUGCCUCAGUUUUCACUGUGGUGGUGGAGGGAAAACGGCUUCGGUUACUCAGUAUGGAUAAUCAGUGCUCUGAGUCAAGUAUGUAGAUACGAAUCAGUCAUACAGAACUUCACACGUACACAUCUACUCUGUGAAAACUGGAAGUUUUUUAUAGUUCUGCUUUGUGAACUAUCACACCACCCUAAAAGUGCACUCAAAAAGCUUGUUUGGAUUUGAUGGGUGAAAAGGUGGGGGGUUGCAGUUACUGUCUAGGGAAGGUUGAUCUCUCCUUACUAUUUUAAAUCUAGAUGUUCAUAUCUGUACUGAUUAACAUACAUAUAUAGUAUAAAAUAUUACAUGUUCUAGGAGGUGAUGGCACUCUGUGUGCCACUGGUGACGUUGGAAUGGCCCACCUCUCUUAACAGUCUAUGGUGUAUGGUUUCUAAUGAGCAUGAAAAAUUGAAUCAAUUGAAUUAAUAAAUUCCCUUAUCCAG
rnacentral:lncRNA from 7 species